GAGAGGAGAGGAGAGCAGAGGAGAGCAGAGCAGAGCAGAGCAGAGCAGAGCAGAGCAGAGCAGAGCAGAGGAGGGCAAACCUGAACCCAGAACACGGAUGGACAGAACACAAAGCAGAAGCUGAGGUAAAGCUAGAACAUAUGACAGCAGCGAGGAAUGAAGGAGAGCCAGGCCCGGGGCACGGAGGGUUAAAUGAUAGGCCGCUGAGAACAGGGCAUGUGGGGAAAAGGAAGCCCCGUGCUUUUUUCUCUGUGAGUGACUGGAAGGAAGGAUAGCACUUGCAGAGGUAAGAGUGGAAGGAAGCAAGCCCGGAGACAGGGAAGGAAGUCAGAAAGGAGACGAACUAAGAAGCAUAGCCGUGCAACUGUCAGAAAGUCACCAGGCUGUUCAGCUGGGCAGGGAGGAGAGCCACAGCUUUACCCGAGAGGGGCCAUCCAAAAGACAGGAGCAGGCCAUCUAAGUAGCAGGCGCCUUGUGGGGGGGGGGGGAAGGAAAAGAAAAGAAAAGAAAUAGCUGGGAAAGGUGAGAAGCAGGCAAGGGAAAACCCAAAGGAGACGCUGGCCCAGAAACCUUUUUAACUUUCUGUGAGAAUCUACAAGGCCCCAAACUAGGCCAACAUUCUGACUGACAUUUCUGAGCUCACCAGCUGCUGUUUCCUUGAGAGGGUUCUGACAGGAAGGCAUAGAAAUGCAAGCCAACCCUGCCAGCUCUGGAAAUAAAUAAAUAACAAGCCAUGUUCUACACUCCUCAAUGGGGCCAGAAGCCUGCAGGGCAAGAAAGCCCAAGGGGAGGAGGGACCCGCCUGCAACUUUUCCCCAGGUUUGGACAUUCCAAAGACAUCACACUAGAGGCUACAGUCACCUCGCAAGGGAGUGGCCCCCUGCUCUGGCUGGUCAAACGGAACCAAGUCCGUCUUCCUGAGAGGUUUGGUCCCCUUCAACCAGCUACAGCAGGGCUGGCAAAAUUCAGUCCUCGAAGAAAAAGAAGAGAAGAGAAAUUAGCUGCUACAGUCUUCCUUACAAAAAGCAAUUCUGGUUUUGUCAUUGUAGUCUCAUACUCCCAGGGAGGAAGAAGAAAGGAGGAAACCUGGGUGAAAAAGAGAUCAUGUUCAACAUGAAGAAAUGUCUGCCUUUGCACCUGCAACUACAGCCAUGCACAUACCUUUCACAUAUACCCAAUGAUGAUGCUAACGAUGGAGCUUGGGCCAACCUUACUCCAGCCAGGGGCAAAACAUGACAAAUAGGAGACAGUCUCCUGCUCAUAAGGACACAGAAGCAUAAGGAGGUCAUUGACCAUGGAAAUACAACACAACUCAGUGGAACUACAGGUCAGAAUAUGGUUGAUCCAAGAUGUAAUUCUUACAUAGUUCACUGAAUCUGCCUGUGAAUCUAUGCAGACAGAGGACUUUGUGUGCACUGAAAUUAAAAUACACAGAAAGGGUUUCUGAAGCUUCCAGUAGCUUUUACUUGUAACUAAAUGAAAGCCUGGCUUCCAGUUUGAAUCCCACCCCUCUUGUCUAUGAGCUGUGGUAUGACCUCAGGCAAAUCGCCUCUGCUAACUCUAUAAAAACAUUAUUUGCUUCAUCAGUAAUUAGAAAUGGUGACACCUAUCUCAUCAUUGCUCUAAGAUUUUAAAAAGAUGUUUGUAAAUAGCCAACGAUAAGCAUUCAAAGAAUGCUUAUCUUACUAUUAUGGGUUUUAGUAAUAUAAUGGCAAUGUUGCGCCCAGAGGCAUGGCACCUUGAGAGGAAGAAAAAAAUUUAAAGAUGAAAUUUCCAAAAUAAAUAUAGGGUGCAUUUAUAUUUCCACUAUUGAUUCUACAAGCAUGCAGCAUACAUUCAUCUGAGUAUGCAUUGUUAGUAUGUAGUCAGUUUCACAAACACACACACACACACACACACACACACACACAGACGAGAGUCUACUGCCUGGGAAGAUGUUGCUCUUGAGAGAUGUUGAGCUUGUACUACAACUAUAGAGCCUCCUGGGUCUGUGAAGCUGGGGAGCAUGUAUUCUAAAGACAAAGAGAAAAUAAGCCUGCCCCUCUACUCUGAACCUAUUUCCUCAUGGGAAGAACGGAAAUAUCAACACUAUGUUGUAGAGAAUUCAUGGGAAUGAAAAUGAUGUUUAAAAGGUCUAAUCCUAGGACUUGGUGCAUAAUGAGGUUUUAUCUUGUUCCUAAAGCCAAAUAGGUAUUCAAUAAACUUUUUCUAAAGUAA